rnacentral:rRNA from 1 species
UGGUGGGUAGUUUGACUGGGGCGGUCUCCUCCUAAAGAGUAACGGAGGAGCACGAAGGUUGGCUAAUCCUGGUCGGACAUCAGGAGGUUAGUGCAAUGGCAUAAGCCAGCUUGACUGCGAGCGUGACGGCGCGAGCAGGUGCGAAAGCAGGUCAUAGUGAUCCGGUGGUUCUGAAUGGAAGGGCCAUCGCUCAACGGAUAAAAGGUACUCCGGGGAUAACAGGCUGAUACCGCCCAAGAGUUCAUAUCGACGGCGGUGUUUGGCACCUCGAUGUCGGCUCAUCACAUCCUGGGGCUGAAGUAGGUCCCAAGGGUAUGGCUGUUCGCCAUUUAAAGUGGUACGCGAGCUGGGUUUAGAACGUCGUGAGACAGUUCGGUCCCUAUCUGCCGUGGGCGCUGGAGAACUGAGGGGGGCUGCUCCUAGUACGAGAGGACCGGAGUGGACGCAUCACUGGUGUUCGGGUUGUCAUGCCAAUGGCAUUGCCCGGUAGCUAAAUGCGGAAGAGAUAAGUGCUGAAAGCAUCUAAGCACGAAACUUGCCCCGAGAUGAGUUCUCCCUGACC